rnacentral:lncRNA from 1 species
UUUCUUCUAUUUCUCUCUCUAUACGUUAGUGUUCUAACCAAUAAUCACCGAUGCGAUGUUCUGUCCGAUCGAUUCAGGAACCAACUAACGAAUGCCAAAGUGUUGUACUUUGUGAAUUUCGGUAAGCGGAAUCCAAAGUACUAUACUUUGUGAAUUUCGGUAAACGGAAUCCAAAGUGUUAUACUUUGUGAAUUUUGUUAAGGUUCGAAUCUCGUGACUACCGUUAGGUUUGAUUUGGGUUUUACACAAAUACGUAUUCCAUUCUGUUAAACUAUAUGUUUAACUACCAGAAUACUCUCAACUACGCACUUACAAUCAAACAAGCUGUUUAAUCAUCAGAAGGUUCAGAAUAAUAAAGUAUAUACGUGAUCAUCAGAAGGAAUAGAAUCAAAAAGCUGGUUAAAUCAAUAUUGCAUGCUUAUAAAGUAAUUACACUAGAUUGGAGUAAGAGUUGAAUACGGCACCGACAAGACUUACAGAAGUGACUCAUU